rnacentral:miRNA from 1 species
UGUCCGUGUGUAUGUGUGCAUGUGCAUAUGUCAUGUAGGUAUACAUGUGUAUAUGUAGACACAUGUAUAUGCAUGCA